UACAAACACCAAGUUCGUGCUGUUCAGCUCUUUCAACAUCCAAAUAACCUCAGCCAGAACUGAGCACCCAGGAUUCAAGGCGAAUAGUUUGACCAAUAACAACGGGGGCAUUGUUGCGAGAAUCUCCUCCUGCACGGAGCAUUUCAAGGACUUCACAAAGGAGCUCCGCUAUCCUUUGACUGAUGACAUUUCUGGGCCUUCAAUAUAUACCAAUGGGUCUAACGAGCUGUGGGACAGGUAAUAUUUUCCCCGUGAAAUGCAAACAAGCCGCAGACAGCGAUGGACAUAACUGACAACAAUGGCGCCUAAUCUCGGUUUAAAACUUACCACAAAACUCCUGGUGAAAACGACACCGGACAAACCGAGUGCGAAACGAGCAAAGUCAGUGGAAAAGUCCCUGGGGAAGAGCUCAUUCAUCGGAGACAACGGGCAAACAAGAUGUGCUGGGCCCAUAAAUUAGCAUCACUUAAGUGGCCAGAUGAGAGUUCCUCUGGGGGGCGUGUAAUCCUUUCAACGAUUAAUUGCAACCCAACAUCGCCUGAAUCCAAAGAUCUCGUUGACUGGGGGUCUGGAAAUGUGAAUAUAAAUGGCUAAAUCAGACUGGGACGUACACAAAUGUCAUGUGGGACAGCUAAUGAUAUCUACAAAUCCCCAAACUCAAUCAAUUGUGGGGAGGAGAGACAAACUGGAGCUACACUGAGAAACAGAAAAGACAAAUGUAGUUUAGGACUUUGGAUUUAUAUCUUAAAUUAUUGGCAAAUAAAUUGCAAGAAAUCUU
rnacentral:lncRNA from 1 species